AGAGUUUGAUCAUGGCUCAGAACGAACGCUGGCGGCAUGCCUAACACAUGCAAGUCGAACGGGAUCCUGACUUCGGUCAGGUGAGAGUGGCGGACGGGUGAGUAACGCGUGGGAACCUGCCCAUUGGUCUGGGAUAACUGCGGGAAACUGCAGCUAAUACCGGAUGUACCCGAGAGGGGAAAGAUUUAUCGCCGAUGGAGGGGCCCGCGUCAGAUUAGGUAGUUGGUGAGGUAACGGCUCACCAAGCCUACGAUCUGUAGCUGGUCUGAGAGGAUGAUCAGCCACACUGGGACUGAGAUACGGCCCAGACUCCUACGGGAGGCAGCAGUGGGGAAUAUUGGACAAUGGGGGCAACCCUGAUCCAGCAAUGCCGCGUGAGUGAUGAAGGCCUUAGGGUUGUAAAGCUCUUUUACCAGGGACGAUGAUGACGGUACCUGGAGAAUAAGCCCCGGCUAACUUCGUGCCAGCAGCCGCGGUAAUACGAAGGGGGCUAGCGUUGUUCGGAAUUACUGGGCGUAAAGGGCGCGUAGGCGGCCGAUCAAGUCAGAUGUGAAAGUCCUGGGCUUAACCUGGGGACUGCAUUUGAUACUGAUUGGCUUGAAUUCGGGAGAGGAUAGCGGAAUUCCCAGUGUAGAGGUGAAAUUCGUAGAUAUUGGGAAGAACACCGGUGGCGAAGGCGGCUAUCUGGACCGACAUUGACGCUGANNNGCGAAAGCGUGGGGAGCAAACAGGAUUAGAUACCCUAGUAGUCC
rnacentral:rRNA from 1 species